rnacentral:rRNA from 1 species
UACGUAGGGACCAAGCGUUGUUCGGAUUUACUGGGCGUAAAGGGCGCGUAGGCGGCAUAUUAAGUCAGCUGUGAAAUCUCCGAGCUUAACUCGGAACGGUCAGCUGAUACUGAUGUGCUAGAGUGCAGAAGGGGCAAUCGGAAUUCUUGGUGUAGCGGUGAAAUGCGUAGAUAUCUGGAGGAACAUCGGUGGCGAAGGCGGCAUCCUGGACCGGUAUUGACGCUGAGGCGCGAAGGCCAGGGGAGCAAACGGG